UGCCUACGGGAGGCAGCAGUGAGGAAUAUUGGUCAAUGGGCGGAAGCCUGAACCAGCCAAGUCGCGUGAGGGAAUAAGGCCCUACGGGUCGUAAACCUCUUUUGCCGGGGAGCAAGGGCCGGGACGCGUCCCGGCCCGGAGAGUACCCGGAGAAAAAGCAUCGGCUAACUCCGUGCCAGCAGCCGCGGUCAUACGUAUGAUCCGAGCGUUAUCCGGAUUUAUUGGGUUUAAAGGGAGCGUAGAUGGGUUGU
rnacentral:rRNA from 1 species